AGAAAUCCAGCUAGGUUAAUACCCGGUUGGGAUGACGGUACCCAAAGAAUAAGCACCGGCUAACUUCGUGCCAGCAGCCGCGGUAAUACGAAGGGUGCAAGCGUUACUCGGAAUUACUGGGCGUAAAGCGUGCGUAGGUGGUCGUUUAAGUCCGUUGUGAAAGCCCUGGGCUCAACCUGGGAACUGCAGUGGAUACUGGGCGACUAGAGUGUGGUAGAGGGUAGCGGAAUUCCUGGUGUAGCAGUGAAAUGCGUAGAGAUCAGGAGGAACAUCCAUGGCGAAGGCAGCUACCUGGACCAACACUGACACUGAGGCACGAAAGCGUGGGGAGCAAACAGGAUUAGAUACCCUGGUAGUCCACGCCCUAAACGAUGCGAACUGGAUGUUGGGUGCAAUUUGGCACGCAGUAUCGAAGCUAACGCGUUAAGUUCGCCGCCUGGGGAGUACGGUCGCAAGACUGAAACUCAAAGGAAUUGACGGGGGCCCGCACAAGCGGUGGAGUAUGUGGUUUAAUUCGAUGCAACGCGAAGAACCUUACCUGGCCUUGACAUGUCGAGAACUUUCCAGAGAUGGAUUGGUGCCUUCGGGAACUCGAACACAGGUGCUGCAUGGCUCUCGUCAGCA
rnacentral:rRNA from 1 species